GAGACUGUUUACCAAAGAACCCAGCUAAAGGACAUUCUCCUUUAAAAGGUGACUCAGCAAAGAGAAGAAGAAAAGCCAAAUCUUACCUGGCAGCAGAAAUCCCCAGAGACGGUGCCUGCCAGUUUUCAUAGAACCCCAGGAGAGGCGUGCUCAUGUGUGGUCUCAUUAGCCGAUUGACUGUUGCUGCUCCGUCUUUUACUGCUCAUCUCUUCCCAUGGGAACCUCUUGCUGUUUGAAGAGCUCCAGAGAGAGUUCAGUGAUUUUCAAAGACACGCACAUUCUUUACCUUGGUAGCCCCUGCCUUUUGUGAUGAGGACUACUGAAGGAAAAGAGCUUUUCUUCGUUACUCCAGUUCCAGAGGACAAAUAAGCUGGUGGGACUUCAAAACUGACAGCCAGAUAUGUGGAUGAUGCUUUUCCAUGUUUUUAAAUCUGUUAAUUUUGAAGUUACAAGAAAAGAGGCUCUGAAUAUACAGUUCAUCCAGAGACAGCCAUUUCAGUAUGAGCUGGCUGAAGAGCUCUACAGAUCUUUGAUGAAAGUAGGUAAUACAACUCAAAAAAUGGGGAAAAUUUUUGACAUCUGUAAGAUACUUUUUUGAAAUUAAAUAACAGCAAGCAAAUAAAGUAGCUAGAUGUCAAUCCUAGCCCAUAUGAUGGACUAGCAAAAUCUUUUACUGAAGACUGACAGUAUACUUACCAAUAUAAUUGCAAGAAAAUUAAUUUCACUUACUGAUGUCCCACUGUAAGAGAUUGCUUCUGUGAUUAAUAAGGAAAACACUGUUAAGGUAACACAUUUCAAUUUCUCUGGAAGAAUUAGUGAGUCUGCAUUACUAUGGCUGCAUAAUGCCAUGUAAUACAGACCGCAUUCAAUCAGCACGGUCCAUAUUAAUUGGAUUGAAAAGUACACAGAUGAUGGAUGUUGAAAUAUUGGUCAUCAUUAAAGAAGGAUGUUUAUAUAGAGGCCUUCCACAGAUUGGUUGACUCACACAGCAUUUAACAUGGGAUUUAUUAGUGAUCUGAAAUAAAGUGCAGAAUCCUGCUGGUAAAAGUCCCAGGAAAUUGGAUACCAAUAAACGUGAGCAUGGAUAGCUAACACAUACCAAGCAGGGCCGGCAGAUAAAACGGUAAUUCAGUAUGUACCAGAUUUACUGGAUUUGAAUCAGAGUUUGAAGAGUCUACAGGUCAUUUGCACUCUGGCGCUUAAACUGAAAGCUUGGCACCGAAAGCAAAUUUGUUCAACAAAGAAAAAGAAACACAGCAAACAGGAUACCACAGAAUUAUAUUUAUGUUGUACAUUUUUCUUCACAUUGCAACAUCCACAUUGUUCAUUUUGUGACAAGUAUUUCUAAUAAUUUUGAAUACAUAUUUACUGUAUAAUACAUUUUACCAAGAGGCACUUCCAGUAAUUCUGGCAAAAAGGAGCUUCAUUAUAGUGUCUAACUUACAAAACAGUAAAAAUAAAUAAUGUUUAUCUAAAAGAUUUUU